AUUCCUACCCCUAGCCGCCACAGCCACUAGCCCUUCUCCUUCUCCCCCACGCCAACUCCCCUUUCUCUGUUUUGGCUGGCACAAGGCUCCUCCCACGGCGACAGCAGCAAGCGCAGGAGCUCCUCCCCUCGGCAGCCAUGGCGUCCUCCCUCCCCUCCCUGCUCCAUGGGCGUCACCUCUCACCUUCUUCCUCCCUACGGCUGCAGCUCUCCCACUGCUCCCUCACGCCAGCAGCAGGGAACCCCGUUCCUCCUCGCCAUUUGCUCGACGCUAAUACAGCAGGACACACAGAGCCCCCAUGGCGCCCUUCCCUCCUCCCUCUCCUUCUCCCUCCAGCAGGCAGGCCGAUUUCCCCUCCUCUGCCAUUUUUUUUCCUGCUCCUUACACCACGGCCAGCAGAGGACAGUGGAGUUUCCCUUGGUCGCGG
rnacentral:misc_RNA from 1 species